GCCUAACACAUGCAAGUCGAACGGUAACAGGAAACAGCUUGCUGUUUCGCUGACGAGUGGCGGACGGGUGAGUAAUGUCUGGGAAACUGCCUGAUGGAGGGGGAUAACUACUGGAAACGGUAGCUAAUACCGCAUAACGUCGCAAGACCAAAGAGGGGGACCCUCGGGCCUCUUGCCAUCGGAUGUGCCCAGAUGGGAUUAGCUUGUUGGUGGGGUAACGGCUCACCAAGGCGACGAUCCCUAGCUGGUCUGAGAGGAUGACCAGCCACACUGGAACUGAGACACGGUCCAGACUCCUACGGGAGGCAGCAGUGGGGAAUAUUGCACAAUGGGCGCAAGCCUGAUGCAGCCAUGCCGCGUGUAUGAAGAAGGCCUUCGGGUUGUAAAGUACUUUCAGCGGGGAGGAAGGGAGUAAAGUUAAUACCUUUGCUCAUUGACGUUACCCGCAGAAGAAGCACCGGCUAACUCCGUGCCAGCAGCCGCGGUAAUACGGAGGGUGCAAGCGUUAAUCGGAAUUACAGGGCGUAAAGCGCACGCAGGCGGUUUGUUAAGUCAGAUGUGAAAUCCCCGGGCUCAACCUGGGAACUGCAUCUGAUACUGGCAAGCUUGAGUCUCGUAGAGGGGGGUAGAAUUCCAGGUGUAGCGGUGAAAUGCGUAGAGAUCUGGAGGAAUACCGGUGGCGAAGGCGGCCCCCUGGACGAAGACUGACG
rnacentral:rRNA from 1 species